GUUUGACUUUUCGUCUUAUUUGAAAUUUUUUUAUGAUUAAUAUUUUUAUUGAUACUGGAUGAUAAAACAUAAAUAGUAUUUUAUGCGUGACUAAUUCUUUUAAGUUUUUACAGAUUUUUCAAAUAAAACGAAUAGUCGAAC
rnacentral:pre_miRNA from 1 species